UGUUUUCAUUUAAUUUUAAGGGGUUAUUUUCUUUGUUUAUUUUCAUUGUAAUGCAUUUCCAAAAUCAAAAAUUAAAAUUAAACCUAAACUGGCAGAGCUGCUUAUAAAAAUUUGCAAAGUCGAAGGCGGAAAAUCAAGGAAGCAAAACAAGCCGGGGUCAGAGACGACCGGGUUAGGCCUACUCUCUACUCAGCUAUCCAGCACACAGCCCACAAUAGUUACGGCUGCCAAGUAAACUCUUAGGAGACUACUGUAGAUUUUUACGACAGUACAGUAGGAUUCUUUCAACCAGUGAAACCUCUGCGAUAAGUAACUUGAAAAUGCACCUUUGUU